AAUGCAUAAGAAACAGGUUUCAAGUGUAACGAUCUCUGCUUUGUAACUGCAAAGUUGUGCUAACUUUGCACAAAUGUUGGUCUAGACUUUUCUUGACUUGAGAAUUUUUCUUCAGUUGUAUUUCCCAGGAAAAUAGCUUGCACAUUAGCAAACAGUUUUCCAAACUGGAGACAGAUUUGUACUUUGCUUUCUAAUCCAUUCAAGCAAGUAGCUUCUGUACUUUUGAUAUCUCUUAAUGAAUAGUUCAGCUCACUGUAGUAGUAACAUGAUGUAGUUUGUAUUUCUGUUGCUCAGCAAGUGACACCAGUGUCACUAAAUCUGGCUUUCUAACACUGUGGGGUCUUCUGUGCAUAAAAAAAAAAAAUGUUAAAUCGGUGGCCAUAUUUGCUACCGUAUCACAAGUGCUUGAAUUUCUAAGUUUAGGGUUUAUUUUUCAUUAGUCAGUAUGCUCUAAGUACACAUACUUGACAUACAAUUUGGACUUUAGGAACAUCAUGAAGGGAUUUAUUUAUUACUUUGUUCUUCAUCCUUGAAACUGAGUGGGUUUUUACUCUUAUAGAACAAGCAACCUGUGGCAUAAGUGGGUUUCCAUUUGCUUUAGCUGUCAAAUGUGAAUAUUAGUACAGUAGGCUCUACCCCCCCCCCAAAAAAAAAAAAGAUACCUCAGCCAAAAAAGUUGGGAAUAGGUGGGUUUCAGUAAUAAUGGAAAUACCAAGGUGUUUGCAUUGUAUUUCAUGGUUUUACAAUUAUACCAUUCAAAACUGAACUGGUGCUUUUAAAUUUUAAACAAAUCUGAAGCUCAGAGGUGUGAUGCCAGAAUGUAUUUGAGUACUUGUUAGGCCCUUGGAAACAAGGUUAUGGUGCUGUUUGAAAGAUGAAAUCCAACGUGUGCUUUUACUGAGAAUACUGUAAAGCUACAUACAAAGUAUGGAUGAUGGUUGCAGUUUCCCCAAUACUUAAACAGAUGCGUGUGACUCGUUUUGGACUCUAGCUUUAAUGGGGGUUGCAUGUCUCCUAUUGUUAAUCAUUGAUAGCUGCAGUGACAUGAUUUGCAAGACUUGUGUUUUAUUGCCUUUCCCUAAAUGUUAUGUGACAUGUUUUUGGAGAGCCAUGCUGUUUGUUCUGGACCUUAUUUGGUUUUUCCUUUAGCUGAUAUGUCAGUUCUCUGUCAGCUAGUGCAGUUCUCAAAUGGCUGCCUACUAGGGAAAGAAUCUGGAGGAUUUACUGCUCCUAUUCAUCUGUCAUUGCUGCUAGAUAAUGAUUGGCAAUUAAAAGACUUAACUGUGGAGACCCCACAGUCAUCUGUAAAACCCAUCACCUAUAAAAUGUUGCUUUAAAACACCAGUGCUGACAAAGUUGGGUUUCCCCCCCCAGGGCGAAGGGGCUGGACAGAAUAGGACAAUCUGGAGAGGGGUUGGAUGCAAAAAGAUAUAGUAUCCCUUAUGGAUGGUACAUGUGCAACAGGGAAUUAGGGAAGAAGAAAAGCUUGGAAUUGGAACUUGAAUUAAGGAUGAUCUUGUUCUUGUGCACUGUGGACCUGCAUUGUGAAUGUGAUGUCCUCUCCCUCUGAUGAGGAAGGCCAUGUAUUAUUCAGGUUCCCUUGGUGUGGCAUUGUUAGUUUGCCCUAACAUAAAAGCCCAGUGAGAAUUUAGGGGAGGGGAAGAAAGGAUCUGCCUAGAAUGAAGGGGCAAUAACUGUAGUAUCACAGACUUGAAAUGGGGAGGGCAUUCUUGAAGGGGUUCUGCUGAUAUUGGUCAGUCUGCCUGAUGAUGGUGGAAGAUAAUACAGGAGAGGUGCUUUCUUAUAUAGUAAAGAGCAGGGCUUGAUGACGGUAGGAUAAAAGUUGUCACAUACCUUCACAUAAGGGAUAGUAUAUUUUGGGUUGCAAUCAAACUUUAUUGUGCUCAGACUGGUGAAAAUAGCAGUUUAGGAUUUUGUAUUUAAAAGGAAGUAUUCUUCACUCUUAAUUCAGUUGCCUACUCUUUUGACAUCAUCUUUACAAGAAUUAUGUAAACUAGACUAUCUGCCCCAUAAGCUUCUUCCUCCUACUAUAUUCAUAUGCCAUAAUUUGCCCCCUAAUUUUACCAAUCUUUUAUCUCUGGAAUUUUUACCUUUUAAAUUGUGAAAUAACUAGCAUUUUUGGAUUUUUGACUUUAAUAAUAACUUUGUUUAUUAUUCUUUAGGUAAGAGUGAUUGGUGUGGGCUGAAAACAGUGCUCAUCCAUUGAGUCUUGCAGUACAACAUGAGCACAUCUAGAGUGAGCCACGGUCACCAACCCAACAAUUUAAGUAGGAGCAAGGAAGGGAGCAGUGUUUUGGAAAUCCACAAACCAAGGAAGAAGAGCCAGGAUUGUUGAAGAAAUUUAUUUUUAAUAAUAAAAAAGUUUGAAUCCA